UUAAUUUUUGUAUUUUUGUAAUUGAUAUUAAAAAUGUGCCAUUAUAUAAUUUUAAUGGAACUAUGUAAAAAAAGUUUUUGUUAAUAUUUUCAGUCUUUAUUUAAGUUGUCGCGUUUUGUCAUGGUAUUAAAAAAAAAAAUGCGAGAAAUAAAUACUAUACCUACAUGAAGGGGCCCUUACGCAAUGGCUCAUUUUACAUUUAAUUUCAUACGGCACUGUGUUAAUAUUAUUUCGUCAUUAGAUAAUUGUGCGCAUGCGUAGGAAUUAAUUUAUAAUAUAAAAAAUGUAUUUACGUUUUUGAUAGAUCCCACAUAGAAAUGUAUUAGUCCAAUAUAUUAUUUUAAAUUAUUAGAAAUAGUUUUUGGUAUAAUAGAGCGAAGGAUGUGCGACGAUAACGUGUGCGAUGAUUGUUUAGAAACUGAAUUUAUCACGGAUUUGCAACAUAAAAAGUGUAAAGUGAUACAACUGGUACGAAGACAAAUGCAUAAGUUCGAGGAUACGCAAAAAGUGAACACGUUCGCCGUGGUCGUUUCCUUGCUGGAAGAGUAAAACUGCCAAGGGUAGCAGCAAUACUACUGCCACCCGAGGGGGGUAAUGCAGAACUUGUGCCAGGUGCUGGAUCCGGAUGAGGUGGACUUUUACGCCUCAAAUCAUAUGGCGAAGAAUGUGAAUGUGAUGGAGAAGGUGAAGGUGCAGCUACACCUGACACACUAGGUGACGAGCCUCUUCCACCAUUACCACCACCACCUCCUGCUCCUCCUCCUCCUCCUCCACCAACACCACCUCCAGGAGGAAUCUGAUUUGACGCUGGACAUGGCAAUUCGCAUGGCUCGGCUAUAAUAUAAUCAAAUUUAUAUUACAACUAUAAUAUAUUUACUAUAAAUAUAUUAAAGAACUUUUUCUUUUCUUUUUAAUUAUAUUUUAUGUAUAUUUAAUAAUUACGAAUGACAUACAUUUCUUCAUCUUAUAUGUCAAUGUAGUUUUCUUUAAAAGUAAUAUUUAAAAUUUAUUAAUAUGUUAUAAUUAAAACUGUACUGUUUCAAAAAAAAAAAAAAAAAAAAAAAAAAAAAAAAAGGGGAAAAAAAAAUUU